AUUGAACGCUGGCGGCAUGCCUUACACAUGCAAGUCGAACGGCAGCACGGGGGCAACCCUGGUGGCGAGUGGCGAACGGGUGAGUAAUGUAUCGGAACGUGCCCAGUCGUGGGGGAUAACGUAGUGAAAAUUACGCUAAUACCGCAUACGAUCUAUGGAUGAAAGCGGGGGAUCGCAAGACCUCGCGCGAAUGGAGCGGCCGAUAUCAGAUUAGGUAGUUGGUGGGGUAAAGGCUCACCAAGCCGACGAUCUGUAGCUGGUCUGAGAGGACGACCAGCCACACUGGAACUGAGACACGGUCCAGACUCCUACGGGAGGCAGCAGUGGGGAAUUUUGGUCAAUGGGCGCAAGCCUGAUCCAGCCAUUCCGCGUGCAGGAUGAAGGCCCUCGGGUUGUAAACUGCUUUUGUACGGAACGAAACGGCGAGCUCUAAUACAGUUUGCUAAUGACGGUACCGUAAGAAUAAGCACCGGCUAACUACGUGCCAGCAGCCGCCGUAA
rnacentral:rRNA from 1 species